rnacentral:rRNA from 1 species
UACGAGGGGGGCGAGCGUUGUUCGGAAUUAUUGGGCGUAAAGGGUGCGUAGGCGGUUUGGUAAGUCUGAUGUGAAAUCUAUGGGCUCAACUCAUAGUCUGCACCGGAAACUGCCGGGCUUGAGUAUGGGAGAGGUGAGUGGAAUUCCUGGUGUAGCGGUGAAAUGCGUAGAUAUCAGGAGGAACACCUGUGGCGAAAGCGGCUCACUGGACCAUAACUGACGCUGAUGCACGAAAGCUAGGGGAGCAAACAGG